AUAUCAAUAAGCGGAGGAAAAGAAACCAACAGGGAUUGCCUCAGUAACGGCGAGUGAAGCGGCAACAGCUCAAAUUUGAAAUCUGGCCUCUUGGGGUCCGAGUUGUAAUUUGUAGAGGAUGCUUCGGGUUAAGCCGCGGCCUAAUUCGCUUGGAACAGCGAGUCAUAGAGGGUGAGAAUCCCGUCUAGGGCCGCGCGCCGCGCCCGUGUGAAGCUCCUUCGACGAGUCGAGUUGUUUGGGAAUGCAGCUCUAAAUGGGUGGUAAAUUUCAUCUAAAGCUAAAUAUUGGCCAGAGACCGAUAGCGCACAAGUAGAGUGAUCGAAAGAUGAAAAGCACUUUGAAAAGAGAGUUAAACAGUAUGUGAAAUUGUUGAAUGGGAAGCGCUUGCAACCAGACUUGCGAGCGACGGUUCCCCGGGUCUUCUGACCCGGCUACUCCGUCGUCUCCAGGCCAGCAUCGGUUUGGGUGGUCGGUCAAAGGCCCCGGGAAUGUAUCUACCUCCGGGUCGACUUAUAGCCCGGGGUGUAAUGCGGCCUACCCGGACCGAGGAACGCGCUUCGGCUCGGAUGCUGGCGUAAUGGUUGUAAGCGGCCCGUCUUGAAACACGGACCAAGGAGUCUAACAUCUAUGCGAGUGUUUGGGUGUCAAACCCCUACGCGUAAUGAAAGUGAACGGAGGUAAGAACCCCUCGCGGGGCGCAUUAUCGACCGAUCCUGAUGUCUUCGGAUGGAUUUGAGUAAGAGCAUAGCUGUUGGGACCCGAAAGAUGGUGAACUAUGCCUGAAUAGGGUGAAGCCAGAGGAAACUCUGGUGGAGGCUCGCAGCGGUUCUGACGUGCAAAUCGAUCGUCAAAUUUGGGCAUAGGGGCGAAAGACUAAUCGAACCAUCUGGUAGCUGGUUCCUGUCGAAGUUUCCCUCAGGAUAGCAGUAACGUUUUCAGUUUUAUGAGGUAAAGCGAAUGAUUAGAGGCCUUGGGGUUGAAACAACCUUAACCUAUUCUCAAACUUUAAAUAUGUAAGAAGUCCUUGUUACUCAAUUGAACGUGGACAUUUGAAUGUAUCGUUACUAGUGGGCCAUUUUUGGUAAGCAGAACUGGCGAUGCGGGAUGAACCGAACGUGAGGUUAAGGUGCCGGAAUGCACGCUCAUCAGACACCACAAAAGGUGUCAAUGCAUCCAGACAGCCGGACGGUGGCCAUGGAAGUCGGAAUCCGCUUAGGAGUGUGUAAUUGAGAUUGUUGCACACUAGUAAUUCUCGUUGAGAAAUUAAUCAGAAAAUCUGUAUCUUAAACAGAUAUAGUAAAUGAUGAUAGCUCUAAUUAACCGAAAUUCCAUCAAGAUAAUCGGUUGUAAAUCUGCUUGUAGAUUUAUCCACAGACUAGAAGGAGCUAGCUGCAAUGGGAAUCCAUUACGGUUAAGAUAUAGUCGAUCAGGGUCUCCAAUCGGGACCAUUCCAAAGAGAACAACUCACCGGCCGAAUGCAUUGGCCCUGAAAAUGGAUGGCGCUUAAGCGUGCUACCUAUACCUCGCCGUUAGGGUUGAAAUGAUGCCCUAACGAGUAGGCAGGCGUGGAGGUCCGUGACGAAGCCUCGGGGGUGACCCCGGGUCGAACGGCCUCUAGUG
rnacentral:rRNA from 1 species